AGUGAACGCUGGCGGUAGGCCUAACACAUGCAAGUCGAACGGCAGCACAGUAAGAGCUUGCUCUUACGGGUGGCGAGUGGCGGACGGGUGAGGAAUACAUCGGAAUCUACUUUUUCGUGGGGGAUAACGUAGGGAAACUUACGCUAAUACCGCAUACGACCUACGGGUGAAGGCAGGGGAUCUUCGGACCUUGCGCGAUUGAAUGAGCCGAUGUCGGAUUAGCUAGUUGGCGGGGUAAAGGCCCACCAAGGCGACGAUCCGUAGCUGGUCUGAGAGGAUGAUCAGCCACACUGGAACUGAGACACGGUCCAGACUCCUACGGGAGGCAGCAGUGGGGAAUAGUGGACAAUGGGCGCAAGCCUGAUCCAGCCAUACCGCGUGGGUGAAGAAGGCCUUCGGGUUGUAAAGCCCUUUUGCUGGGAAAGAAAAGCAGCAGGUUAAUACCCCGCUGUUCUGACGGUACCCAAAGAAUAAGCACCGGCUAACUUCGUG
rnacentral:rRNA from 1 species